UCUCCUCUAGCAAUCCAUUUAUGCCAACUCUCCUUUCUUUUGUUAUAUUUGUGUUUGUUCUAUGUAUUUCUUAUUAUUCGACAAAUGGAAACACUGUACUUUCUCCAGUUAUGGUCUGAGUUUUAUGAUAUAGUGCUUGUUUCGCUCGAAGUAUACGGUCUCUAGGCCCUCCCUGCUUGCUUGUUCUGUAGUUAAGUACGUUCAGUGGGGGAGACUAUAUAGUUAGAUUAGGUACUAAAUUGAGAAUCAGAGACUUGUUCUCAUUAGAUGUUUCAUGAUGAACAACAAUAGGUAUACUUUAGAACAUAACAGUUUGAUGUGGACAAAGAUGUAUCAGUAAUUGGGAGGGAUUCUGUAUUGGAUGUUGGUACUUGACACAGUCAAUUUUCUUGAGGAAAUUAUGAGUAUUAUUGUUUGUAAGACCAUCCACCAGAGAAAUUACAUAAUUUCAUCAGCCGAUGGUCGAGUGUACUUGUCCCUUUUGGAGUGUAGGUUUAUUUGACUAUAUCUAACUGCUAUGAAUGGUUAGCUUCUUGGUCCUCAUUAAGUCACCUGUUAUUUCUUUUAUGUUAUCAAAUGCUUUUGGGGAUAGGUUUUCAUAUACUUGUGGUUGUGGACUUCAAUUGUGAGAUAUAUGUCAUUCUUAAAGGUUUUAAGUGACUUGCGUCUUGCAACAGGCCUUUGGUGCAGAGCUGAACCACCUAUAUCGCUGGCAAACGCCAUGCUAGCAACCAUGUGCAAAUUAAAAGAGAUGGGUUACACACAAGGCAGUCCUGAUUGGCAUUUGCAAAAGCAUGAGUUUUGAAAUUCGUAAAUUUGUUCGGGUGCCAAGAGUUGCAGGUCUUCUGGAACCGAACUAGGAUUUAGACGAUUAUGAUCUUCAGUUAACGAUUCAGUUUCUCACGUUUGGAGGUUAGUUUUUGUCAUCACUGACAAGGUCUUAAGCUUAUCAAUGAAGUCUUUUUUUGGGUAGAGAACAUAAAUUUAGGCCAAAUCGAUAGCUUUUGUAAAUGUUAAUUUAUCUUAUAUUAAUGGCAGAUGUUGUCUUAUUGUUGAAGAAAAGAUCAAUAUAGUUGACAACAGAAAAGACCUAACAUGUAUCCUCAUACCAAAGGAAAACCACAGAAAAAAAAAUGAACUAAGUUGUUCAAAGUUAUAUUUUAAAAAUGUGUUACUUUUUGUCUC